CAGGGGGAUAACAGUUAGAAAUGACUGCUAAUACCGCAUAAGCGCACGGUGCUGCAUGGCACAGUGUGAAAAACUCCGGUGGUAUGAGAUGGACCCGCGUCUGAUUAGCUAGUUGGUGGGGUAACGGCCUACCAAGGCGACGAUCAGUAGCCGGCCUGAGAGGGUGAACGGCCACAUUGGGACUGAGACACGGCCCAAACUCCUACGGGAGGCAGCAGUGGGGAAUAUUGCACAAUGGGGGAAACCCUGAUGCAGCGACGCCGCGUGAGCGAAGAAGUAUUUCGGUAUGUAAAGCUCUAUCAGCAGGGAAGAAAUAGGACGGUACCUGACUAAGAAGCACCGGCUAAAUACGUGCCAGCAGCCGCGGUAAUACGUAUGGUGCAAGCGUUAUCCGGAUUUACUGGGUGUAAAGGGAGCGUAGACGGUUGUGUAAGUCUGAUGUGAAAGCCCGGGGCUCAACCCCGGGACUGCAUUGGAAACUAUGUAACUAGAGUGUCGGAGAGGUAAGCGGAAUUCCUAGUGUAGCGGUGAAAUGCGUAGAUAUUAGGAGGAACACCAGUGGCGAAGGCGGCUUACUGGACGAUCACUGACGUU
rnacentral:rRNA from 1 species